UGGGGAAUUUUGCACAAUGGGGGAAACCCUGAUGCAGCGACGCCGCGUGAUUUAGAAGGCCUUCGGGUUGUAAAAAUCUUUUCUAUGGGAAGAAAAUGACAGUACCAUAGGAAUAAGGACCGGCUAAUUACGUGCCAGCAGCCGCGGUAAUACGUAAGGUCCGAGCGUUGUCCGGAAUCAUUGGGCGUAAAGGGUACGUAGGCGGGUAAGCAAGUUAGAAGUGAAAUCCUAUAGCUCAACUAUAGUAAGCUUUUAAAACUGCACAUCUUGAGGUAUGGAAGGGAAAGUGGAAUUCCUAGUGUAGCGGUGAAAUGCGCAGAUAUUAGGAGGAAUACCGGUGGCGAAGGCGACUUUCUGGCCAUAACCUGACGCUGAGGUACGAAAGCGUGGGUAGCAAACAGG
rnacentral:rRNA from 1 species